UACGUAGGGUGCAAGCGUUGUCCGGAAUUAUUGGGCGUAAAGAGCUCGUAGGCGGUUUGUUGCGUCGGGUGUGAAAUCCCGAGGCUCAACCUCGGGUCUGCAGUCGAUACGAGCAAACUAGAGUGUUGCAGGGGAGACUGGAAUUCCUGGUGUAGCGGUGAAAUGCGCAGAUAUCAGGAGGAACACCGGUGGCGAAGGCGGGUCUCUGGGCAGCAACUGACGCCGAGGAGCGAAAGCGUGGGGAGCGAACAGG
rnacentral:rRNA from 1 species